UGGAUGGAUGGAUGGAUGGAUGUAGAAUUGAUAUAGUCUGGGAAAAACUAAGCAGCAUCCUCCAAAAAAUUGAAAUGAAGCCAAGUGUUCAAAAGUGAAGGAAUCCUCACUGGCACCUAUGUUCUCAAAGCCUGCCUCAGCUCCAUCUCCUCACCUGCUUCUAGGUCGAUCAAAGGGAAAAGUCCUGCGCUCAGAGGUCAGAGCACAUUGGUGAUGUAGGUGUGGAUGCUAGCAUAUUGAUGGAUUGCGAUUACACCACCAUAAGAACUUAACGCAAUGCAUGCAAGACUACGUAAGGAUGUGAUCAGGCAGGUCGGAUUACAUUCAGAUCCUUACCCAUUCGUGCAUUAACGUGUUUUCUUACAAUCAAGAUACCGUGUUAUGAUACAGAUCACCUUCAGAUACAAGGUGAAGAUGAGGCUCUACAGUCACCAGCUUUGUAAAGGACAAUUGAGGGGUCACUGAUAAGCCGUUUGUCUUUGUGACGUAGAGUUUGGUACCAGAAAAGCCCUGCAACUGCUCAAGUUCAUCAUAAGACUCGGCAUGACUGUCGCUUUUAGUAUAUUAUGUGAUCACACACACCACUGAUAUAUUCUUUACUGUAAAGCAGAACUAGGACGUCGUAGGAACCUUGGCAGUGAGGUUGCAAAAUGCUUUUGAGGAGGAUUAAGAAACAGACAUUGAAAAGAGGAAGUGGGGGUCAUAAAGGAGUGUAAAUAAAGGAAGCUAUCCUCGUCUGAAUGAGAGAGGUUGUUUUCUUCACCAGGACAUCAUUCCAAUGAAGACAUGAUGCCAUAAAUAAAUGUUCUUUUCUUUGUUCCUUAUGUAGUCUGUGUGAAAUAAAGGCCAAGAUAGAAGUAAAAACAUCAUUAAAGUCAUGUUAAAGUAAGUAUAGAGUAUAUUCUCUGUGAACAUCCCUGUGUCUUACAAAGAGAUGCAAGAGUAGAUUAUUAGGAGAGGGAUUUAGGUCUUUCUUCGGGAGCUUGAUGUGACCGUAUGCAAAGAGUAACUGUCAAUUUAUUUCUUACAGGAAAUACUCUCAAGGAUUAUUGAUUAGCAGUAUCACAGCAGGCCCUGUGGUCGCACUACCUGUUGCAGCUCUGGCACUUAUAACAAUGCAUGCUUGCCUUGAGAAGUGCUAUUCCACAGUUGUUUCUCUUUUUUUAUCAUAUGAGGGUUUCUUUGUCUUGGUAAGAUGAGAAUCAGGCAAAUAAAUGUGUAAAUGAAUCUUA